UACGUAGGGUGCGAGCGUUGUCCGGAAUUAUUGGGCGUAAAGAGCUCGUAGGCGGUCUGUCGCGUCGGAUGUGAAAACCCAGGGCUCAACCCUGGGCCUGCAUUCGAUACGGGCAGACUAGAGUUCGGUAGGGGAGUCUGGAAUUCCUGGUGUAGCGGUGAAAUGCGCAGAUAUCAGGAGGAACACCGGUGGCGAAGGCGGGUCUCUGGGCCGAAACUGACGCUGAGGAGCGAAAGCGUGGGGAGCAAACAGG
rnacentral:rRNA from 1 species